rnacentral:lncRNA from 1 species
AGAAGAAAGGAAGAAAGAGAUAAAAAGCAAGAAAGCCUUGACCAAGGAAGAGUCAAGCAAGAAAAUGAAAGUGAGGAGCAACAAUAAUGAUACUAGCUCCAAAGAACUACAAGAGGUAACUAACUUUUGCCUUAUGGCACAAGAAAAUAAGGUAAAAUCUGAAUCUGAUUUCACACCUAAUGAAUUUCAGGAAGAAUUCUCUUAUGAUGAACUAUUAAAUGCUUUUCAUGAUUUGUAU